UUUCGACUAACUAUAUAAAAAAUUAAAAAUGCCUAGUCAUUAUAAUAAAGAUUACUUCGAAAAUCAUAUAAACAUUUGUGAUACGUCGUUCAAGCAGUGAAGCUAUGACGUAAUCAUGCAUAUGCAGGAAGGUUCGCGCAUUAUACGCACAUCACAUUAUUCUGCGAAAGGUAUAACACGUGCUUGAUAUUCGUGAAAAAUAUCAAAAAGUUGAAAAUAUUUUACAAUAUAUUGGAAAAAUAGUGGAAGAUUGGUGGAAGCUACAUAAAGAAGUUGGUACGUAUGCAAUUAUAAUAUUGUAAGAAAUAUGUAUAAUGCACAAAAAAAACAUGUUCAAAACGUCAUGGUAGACGAAUUAUUGCAAAUAAAAGUGACAUAGAUGUUGCAGGAUGUUCUAAACAUAUUUCAAGCAGGCAUACUGUAAAUAUUUCUUCUAAAGAUUCUUUAAAUUUAGAUUCAUAUAGUGACACUUCUGUAGAAGUUAAUAUUUCUGAUCCACAUGAUGCUAAGAAAGUAUUUAUUGAAACUAUAUUCUCAAAAAAUGAUACGUUACAACAUAGUAAUGAUAUACAAACAAAUACUUCUAACUAUUAUAAUUGUAUUGCUGAUGAAUCAAACAAGGCUACUAAUAUUACUGAUGAGGAUAAACUAACAAAGGCUAUAGCUACAUGGGCAGUAUCUCAUAAUAUUACUCAUAACGCAUGCAAUGACUUGUUACAUAUUUUACGUCAAUAUAUAUCAUGUAAUAUACCUGCAGGGGUGUAUAUCAGUUAGACACGGGGCAAUUGGACACAGUCCAAUCACAAGUCGCUGUUCCAAGGGACCCUACAAAUGUCUCUAAUCACACGGUGCUGUGAUUGGCUGUGUCCAAAUGCACUGUGUCCAAGUGCACCGCUCCCUACCUGCAGAUAUACGAACAGUAUUAAAAACUCCAAGACAAACAGAUAUUUUUCAAAUAUGUGGAGGGGAAUACUUUUAUUCAGGUUUGCAAAUAUGAUUAAAAAGAUAUGAUUAAAAAGAUGCUAUCAAAAAAUAAUGAUACAAGUAUUAAUUUAAUUAUGAAUAUUGAUGGUCUUCCAUUAGCGAAAUCAUCGCAAGCAUCUUUAUGAACAAUUUUAUGUUCGAAUACUGUAAAUACAGCAGUAUAUCUUGUUGGUGCUUAUCUUGGAUACCAAAAACCUACUGAUCCUAAUAGUUUUUUGCAACCUGUAGUGGAUGACUUAAUUAAUUUAAUUAAUAAUGGUUAUAUUCAUACCGAAAAGGUAAUCAAAAUCAGAUUACAUGCCUUAAUAUGUGAUACACCUACAAAGUCUUUUAUUUUAUGUAUAAAAAAUCACACUGGAUAUUAUAGUUGCACAAAAUGCUUAAUCAAAGGAAAACAUAUAAAUGGUAGAAUAUGUUUCCCAUCUUACAAAACUUAUCCUUCGAGAAAAGAUGAAUUAUUUACCAUUAAUGCAUAUAAAGAUUUCUUGACUAAUUAUUCUAUUUUAAAUAAUAUUCCCGAAUUUUUACCCUUAAUUAAUACUCCAGUAAAGUACAUGCAUCUAAUAUGUUUAGGGGUUGUUAAAAAAAUGAUCAUUCUAUGGAUGAAUGGUCCAUUUUGUGUACGUUUGAAUACAAGGUCCAUUAAUAAAAUAUCACAUAUGUUGAUUACGUUUAGAAAUACAGCACCAAGUGAUUUUGUUAGAAAACCCAGAUCGAUAAAAGAUGUGAAGCAUUGGAAAGCUAUAGAAUUUCGAAAUUUUUUAUUGUAUACAGGUCCUAUCGUAUUAAGGUAUAUAUUAAAACGUGACAUAUAUAUUCAUUUCCUGACACUACAUGUAGCCAUAACAAUUCUUAUACGUAAAAAUUUAUGCCAAACAGAGUUAAUAAAUUUUGCUGAUGCUUUAUUAGAUCACUUUGUAAAGUCGUUUGAAAUAUUAUACGGCAAACAAUAUGUAUCACAUAAUGUACAUAACCUUCGACACAUAUGUUCUGAUAUAAGAACAUUUGGUCCGAGGUGUAUAUCAGUUGGACACGGGGCAAUUGGACACAGUCCAAUCACAAGUCGCUGUUCCAAGGGACCCUACAAAUGUCUCUAAUCACACGGUGCUGUGAUUGGCUGUGUCCAAAUGUACCGUGUCCAAGUGCACCGCACCUUUUGGUCCGCUAGAUAAUUUCAGCGCUUUUCGAUUUGAAAAUUACAUGUCAUUUAUUAAAAGACGAUUACGUAAACAUGAAAAAUCAUUACAGCAAUUAAUUAAAAGAUAUCAGGAGAUUGAUAAUUGUAAUGUUUUACGCUCAGAAAAUGAUAGCAAUAAUGAAAUAUAUUCUUGUAAAUUUGUGCACAGUAAUGGUCCAAUACCUGAAAAUUUUGAGGUUCACUUACAAUAUCAUAUGAUAUCAAAUGGAAAAUUUAAUAUAAAUUGCAAAGGUUGUAAUAAUAAUUGUUGUCUAUUAAAAAACGGUACAUAUAUUGUCAUUCAGAAUAUAGUGCAAAAAAAGAAUAAAGACAUUUUUGUUAUUGGAAAAAAACUUAAAUAUUUAAAAGAUGUUUAUACAUUGCCAUGUAAAUCCAGCGAUUUUAGUAUUAAAGUGAUGAAAGUAGACCAUGAUAAUAUUUGGUCUUGGCAUAAAAUGCCUUAUGAAAACGAUCCAGAUGUAUUUGCAAUAUUUCCACUUAACCAUCAAAUAUAAUGUUUGUUUUCUAUUGCUGCACUGCUGAAUUAGUGCAAUAAAUUAGAGUGAGAAAACUUAUAUUUGUCUUAUUUUAACUUAUUGCAUUAGUUCAGCAGUGCAGCAAUAGAAAACAAACCUCUAAUGACGUGCAUUAUGUAUAUAAUAAAGAUAUUUCUUACAAUACAGUAUAAUUCAUAUUUACCGUACGAUUGCAUAUAUACUACACCACAUAGAAAUGGAUAGCAGAUUUAUAAUUGCGGAAUUUUACGACGGACUGCAAUUAAUACCAGCAGCAUGGUAUAAUGCAGAUAAAUUAUCAUGCAUUUGGCCUAGCCAUUUUAAAACAAAAUUGCGAAUUAAUAAAGCUAUUAUGGCAAAAGAGAUGCCACAGGAAAUAUCAGAUUGGGAGGAGUUACCCAUCAAGAAAAUUUUUGGCACUGCAAAUAUAUAUGAAGAAAGUAUAGACAAAUUAGUGCGAGCAGAAGACACAUCUAAUGUUGAUACUGCUAUUUCAUCAAACGAGAGGAAACAACAAGAAAAGAAGAAGAGAUGUGUCAAAGCCAAAAGACAUUUUUCAUCCUCUUCUGAAGAUCUAUCCUCUACCGAGGAUAAAGAAAAUAAUAUCCAAAAAGGAAAAGUAGUGCCUGCUCUGCCGGGUGUAUAUCAGUUGGACACGGGGCAAUUGGACACAGUCCAAUCACAAGUCGCUGUUCCAAAGGACCCUACAAAUGUCUCUAAGUACACGGUGCUGUGAUUGGCUGUGUCUAAAUGCACCGUGUCCAAGUGCACCGCUCCCGCUCUGCCGCGAAAAGAGGAUUUUACUAAGAAGCAAUUAUUGGACACACGAGAAAUGACAGUACAUGCGAAUACUUUCAUGAAUACAGGAAGCAAUAACGAUGCAAAUAACGUUUUUACAAAUAAUAUUACACGUCGUGUAGAACAUUCUGCUGCAGAGACUCAUAAUGAACAUCUUGACACUUGUGAUUUUAAGAAACAUAUUAUAUGGAAAUUAAAUAAGGUAUUAUAUAAAUUAGAAAAUAUUGAAAAUAGACUGCAUAUACUUCAGGAGCAAAGGCAAUCUGCUAAUGAAUUUUGCAAAACUCAAGAAAUGAAUAUUUAUUUUCCGAUAUGUACAAUACCUGACUUGAAGAAAAAUUGAAGGAAGAAAAUUUUCAGAAUGAUCUACAUUUUUUUAAAGUUGUCGGUGGGAGCACCGCUUAUAUAAUGAUACGUAAUAUAUUUAAAAAAACAAUAACAGAUAAUGUAACCAAACAUUUUAACUGGACUAGAAAAAAAGAUAAACAAAGCUUUAAAGAUUUAAGACUUUCAAAAAUCAUCAUACAAGCUGUUCGUAUGAUAUAUAAGGAAAUGACAGACAGCAACAUUACAGAUUAUAUAUCAAAAUGGCUUGCCCAAGCAAAUAUAAGGAUUCAAAGAGAAAAAAAUGAAGAAAAUUCAGGAAAAUAAGAAUUAAACAUUAUAUAUUUUAUUAUUUAUAUCUUCAUGUUCUUUAACAUAUGUUAUUUUUUACUCAUUGGAAAAGUGGAAUAGUGAAACGCAAAGAGAAAAUUAGGUUCUCCUUGACUCCAACGUAAUACCCUUUUAUUAUAUGAAUAACGUAUAUAAAAUAAAAAAUUUUGUUAAUGGCACAUGUGUAUGACCCUAAGUGUCAUACUGAGGUUCUAUAUACUCCACCUUUCUGAUCACGGGUUAAUAUAUAAGUAUAUUUGUUAUUAGUAUAUAAAUAUAUUAGUAUUAGUAUAAAAGUAUAUUACCUAGUAAACACACAUAUACAGGGUGACCCAUUUUAACUUAGGCAGCCAAAUAACUCGAAAAAUAAG